rnacentral:lncRNA from 1 species
UGCUAGGAUACCAUUUGGUGGUCAACUGUCUCCAGUGCAGCUGCUAUUACUUGCCAGACUGACAGACAUAUUAGCUUUUAUCCCCCCUAAUGCUCGGGCUACAGAAAGUUUCCCUUCAUUUUAUUCCAUUUUGAUUUGGGGGGAGAGAUCAAGGUAAAGGUGCAGAAAGUACAGAAACACAAAGAAGCUACGGUGCACUUGAAUGUUGGUCUUCAUAUAUUUGAGAUGUGAUGAUUCCUGACAGCAACAGUGUCUUCAGAAUCAGGCACUGAGAGAAGGCGACCUCUAACAGAUGAAUGGCAGUGCUCAAAUUCAGAUUUAAGAAUUGGAUUAUGACUGAAGUGAUAGCACUCCUAUAUGACUGUCAACAUUUACUCUUUAUUCCAGGUUGGAACUGAAGGAGGCUAAACCUUGUGGAAGGAAAUCUAUCUCACGGUGAACUGUGCUUAGAGCUUGCUUAUUACAAGACAUGAAAAAUAAAUGGUUUGAGCGUGAAGCA